rnacentral:rRNA from 1 species
UACGUAGGGUGCGAGCGUUGUCCGGAAUUAUUGGGCGUAAAGAGCUCGUAGGCGGUGUGUCGCGUCGGCCGUGAAAACCUGCAGCUUAACUGUGGGCUUGCGGUCGAUACGGGCAUCACUGGAGUUCGGCAGGGGAGACUGGAAUUCCUGGUGUAGCGGUGAAAUGCGUAGAUAUCAGGAGGAAUACCGAUGGCGAAGGCAGGUCUCUGGGCUAUAACUGACGCUCAUGCACGAAAGCGUGGGGAGCAAACAGG